rnacentral:rRNA from 2 species
GCGCACGGGUGAGUAAUACAUGUAAAUAUACCUAAAAGUGGGGAAUAACGUACGGAAACGUACGCUAAUACCGCAUAAUUAUUACGAGAUAAAGCAGGGGCUUGAUAAAAAAAAUCAACCUUGCGCUUUUAGAAAAUUACAUGCCGGAUUAGCUAGUUGGUAGAGUAAAAGCCUACCAAGGUAACGAUCCGUAGCUGGUCUGAGAGGAUGAUCAGCCACACUGGGACUGAGAAAAGGCCCAGACUCCUACGGGAGGCAGCAGUGGGGAAUAUUGGACAAUGGGGGGAACCCUGAUCCAGUCAUGCCGCGUGUGUGAAGAAGGCCUUUGGGUUGUAAAGCACUUUCAGCGAAGGAAGAAAAGUUAGAAAAUAAAAAGUUAUAACUAUGACGGUACUCGCAGAAGAAGCACCGGCUAACUCCGUGCCAGCAGCCGCGGUAAGACGGAGGGUGCAAGCGUUAAUCAGAAUUACUGGGCGUAAAGGGCAUGUAGGUGGUUUGUUAAGCUUUAUGUGAAAGCCCUAUGCUUAACAUAGGAACGGAAUAAAGAACUGACAAACUAGAGUGCAGAAGAGGAAGGUAGAAUUUCCCGGUGUAGCGGUGAAAUGCGUAGAUAUCUGGAGGAAUUACCAGUUGCGAAGGCGACCUUCUGGGCUGACACUGACACUGAGAUGCGAAAGCGUGGGGAGCAAACAGGAUUAGAUACCCUGGUAGUCCACGCUGUAAACGAUAUCAACUAGCCGUUGGAUUCUUAAAGAAUUUUGUGGCGUAGCUAACGCGAUAAGUUGAUCGCCUGGGGAGUACGGUCGCAAGGCUAAAACUCAAAUGAAUUGACGGGGGCCCGCACAAGCGGUGGAGCAUGUGGUUUAAUUCGAUGCAAACGCGCAAAACCUUACCUACUCUUGACAUCCAAAGUACUUUCCAGAGAUGGAAGGGUGCCUAGGGAACUUGAGACAGGUGCUGCAUGGCUGUCGUCAGCUCGUGUGUGAAAUGUGGUUAAGUCCCGUACGA